GCUGAGGGAUNAAGGCCUUCGGGUUGUAAACCUCUUUCAGUAGGGAAGAANCCGNCCCUUGGGUUGGUGACGGUACCUGCAGAAGAAGCGCCGGCUAACUACGUGCCANCAGCCGCGGUAAUACGUAGGGCGCAAGCGUUAUCCGGAAUUAUUGGGCGUAAAGAGCUCGUAGGCGGUUUGUCGCGUCUGCCGUGAAAGUCCGGGGCUUAACCCCGGAUCUGCGGUGGGUACGGGCAGACUAGAGUGCAGUAGGGGAGACUGGAAUUCCUGGUGUAGCGGUGAAAUGCGCAGAUAUCAGGAGGAACACCGAUGGCGAAGGCAGGUCUCUGGNCUGUAACUGACGCUGAGGAGCGAAAGCAUGGGGAGCGAACAGGAUUAGAUACCCUGGUAGUCCAUGCCGUAAACGUUGGGCACUAGNUGUGGGGGACAUUCCACGUUUUCCGCGCCGUAGCUAACGCAUUAAGUGCCCCGCCUGGGAGUACGGG
rnacentral:rRNA from 1 species